UCUUAAUCAACCCUAAAAUUUGAUGGACUUUCUUCAAUGUUGUAACGACAAUACAAUCUUCUCGUUCUCAUCCGUUAGCUUUUCCCUAGUUUAUGAUAAACUUGAUGGGAUGAGUUUCUAUUGCGGUCUAAAGUUUUGAUAAAGGAAAAUGGGUUGAUGAGAUAAACAAAUAAAUGGCCAUAUGAAUGUGUUA